UUGUCGGGUAAGUUCCGACCUGCACGAAUGGCGUAACGAUGGCGGCGCUGUCUCCACCCGAGACUCAGUGAAAUUGAAAUCGCUGUGAAGAUGCAGUGUAUCCGCGGCUAGACGGAAAGACCCCGUGAACCUUUACUAUAGCUUUGCACUGGACUUUGAAUUUGCUUGUGUAGGAUAGGUGGGAGGCUUUGAAGCGUGGACGCCAGUUCGCGUGGAGCCAACCUUGAAAUACCACCCUGGCAACUUUGAGGUUCUAACUCAGGUCCGUUAUCCGGAUCGAGGACAGUGUAUGGUGGGUAGUUUGACUGGGGCGGUCUCCUCCUAAAGAGUAACGGAGGAGUACGAAGGUGCGCUCAGACCGGUCGGAAAUCGGUCGUAGAGUAUAAAGGCAAAAGCGCGCUUGACUGCGAGACAGACACGUCGAGCAGGUACGAAAGUAGGUCUUAGUGAUCCGGUGGUUCUGUAUGGAAG
rnacentral:rRNA from 1 species